rnacentral:rRNA from 1 species
AUAAGUACAAACCUUCAUAAGGUGAAACCGCGAACGGCUCAUUAUAACAGCUAUAAUUUACUAGACCUUGAGCAACUACUUGGAUACCUGUGGUAAUUCUAGAGCUAAUACAUGCACCGAAGUUGUUCCUCACGGAGCAAUGCAUUUAUUUGAGCAAAACCAGGCGGCUUCGGCCGUUUCUGUUGAUUCAGAAUAACUAAGCUGAUCGCAUGGGCUUGUCCCGGCGACGUGUCUUUCAAGUGUCUGCCUUAUCAACUUUCGAUGGUAGUGUACGUGACUACCAUGGUGUUGACGGGUAACGGAGGAUAAGGGUUCGACUCCGGAGAAGGGGCCUGAGAAAUGGCCACUACGUCUAAGGAUGGCAGCAGGCGCGCAAAUUACCCACUCUCAGUUCGAGGAGGUAGUGACGAAAAAUAACAAGGCCGUUCUCUUUGAGGCCGGCCAUUGGAAUGGGUACAACUUAAACCCUUUAACGAGUAUCAAUGAGAGGGCAAGUCUGGUGCCAGCAGCCGCGGUAAUUCCAGCUCUCAAAAUGCAUAGAACCAUUGCUGCGGUUAAAAAGCUCGUAGUUGGAUCUGUGCCGGCGACGUGGUCCGCCCUAACCGGCGGUACUGCGCUCGUCGGCUUUGGGCCGGUCUUCGGUCGGUCGCCUUCACUGGCGGCCGCUCGUGGCUGGCUGGUUUACUUUGAGCAAAUCAGAGUGCUCAGCACAGGCGUCUCGCCGGAAUGUUCGUGCAUGGAAUAAUAGAAAAGGAUUUCGGUUCUCUUUUAUUGGUUUUGUGAACUGAGAUAAUGGUUAACAGAGACGGACGGGGGCAUUCGUAUUGCUGCGUGAGAGGUGAAAUUCUUGGACCGCAGCAGGACGGACUACAGCG